UACAGAGGCCUCAAGCGUUAGGCGGAAUCACUGGGCUUAAAGCGUGUGUAGGUGGAUGCCUAAGUGCCUUGUGAAAUCCCACGGCUUAACCGUGGAAUUGCUUGGCAUACUGGGUGUCUUGAGCCACUCAGGGGCUACCGGAACUAACGGUGGAGCGGUGAAAUGCGUAGAUAUCGUUAGGAACGCCAAUGGUGAAAACAGGUAGCUGGGGGUGUGCUGACACUGAGACACGAAAGCCAGGGGAGCAAACGGG
rnacentral:rRNA from 1 species